GGGCUCGUGGUCUAGUCUGGUUAUGGCACCGCCCUUACAAGGCGGUUAUCGGAGGUUCGAAUCCUCCCGGGCCCA
rnacentral:tRNA from 1 species